rnacentral:rRNA from 1 species
ACCCGCUGAACUUAAGCAUAUCAAUAAGCGGAGGAAAAGAAACUAACAAGGAUUCCCCUAGUAACGGCGAGUGAAGCGGGAAGAGCUCAAAUUUGAAAUCUGGUAGCCUUCGGUUGCCCGAGUUGUAAUCUAGAGAAGUGUUUUCCGUGCCGGCCCAUGUACAAGUCCCUUGGAACAGGGCGUCAUAGAGGGUGAGAAUCCCGUCCUUGACAUGGACCCCCGGUGCUUUGUGAUACACUUUCAACGAGUCGAGUUGUUUGGGAAUGCAGCUCAAAAUGGGUGGUGAAUUCCAUCUAAAGCUAAAUAUUGGCGAGAGACCGAUAGCGAACAAGUACCGUGAGGGAAAGAUGAAAAGCACUUUGGAAAGAGAGUUAAACAGUACGUGAAAUUGUUGAAAGGGAAACGAUUGAAGUCAGUCAUGCUCUUGGGACUUACCUCCCUUGAGUGGGGUCAACAUCAGUUUUGAUCGAUGGAUAAAGGCACUAGGAAGGUAGCACUCUCGGGUGAACUUAUAGCCUAGCGUCAUAUACAUUGAUUGGGACUGAGGAACGCAGCAUGCCUUUUGGCCGGGAUUCGUCCACGUACAUGCUUAGGAUGUUGACAUAAUGGCUUU